UGGGGAAUAUUGCACAAUGGGCGAAAGCCUGAUGCAGCGACGCCGCGUGCGGGAUGAAGGCCUUCGGGUUGUAAACCGCUUUUAAUUGGGAGCAAGCGAGAGUGAGUGUACCUUUUGAAUAAGCACCGGCUAACUACGUGCCAGCAGCCGCGGUAAUACGUAGGGUGCAAGCGUCAUCCGGAAUUAUUGGGCGUAAAGAGCUCGUAGGCGGUUUGUCACGCCUGGUGUGAAAGUCCAUCGCUUAACGGUGGAUCUGCGCCGGGUACGGGCAGGCUAGAGUGCAGUAGGGGAGAUUGGAAUUCCCGGUGUAACGGUGGAAUGUGUAGAUAUCGGGAAGAACACCAAUGGCGAAGGCAGAUCUCUGGGCUGUUACUGACGCUGAGGAGCGAAAGCAUGGGGAGCGAACAGGAUUAGAUACCCUGGUAGUCCAUGCCGUAAACGGUGGAUGCUGGAUGUGGGACCCUUCCACGGGUUCCGUGUCGGAGCUAACGCGUUAAGCAUCCCGCCUGGGGAGUNCGGCGCA
rnacentral:rRNA from 1 species